GCCAAUUAAAACGUCAUACAUAUAGCUUUCAGACAGUAACCAGUAUCUAAUUUAUCUAUUUAUUUAGUUUUUGAAAUGUUUUUAAUGUCGGCAAAAUUCCUAAAGCUGCAUAUUCUGAAAUACGAAACACAUGAACAUGUAUAUAUAUAUGGACACCUGAAUACUUAAAUCUGAAUUGACAUCUAAUAGAACAUUGAACAACACCCACACAAAUGAAUAAAUUUUUUGUAAAAUGGAAGCAUCAAAUUUCAACAACAAAUAAUGACAAAAGUAUAUAAACAUAAUACGUAUUCGAAUGUCGCAUCCAAACAAAGCCUUGGUUAAAGGGACACAUGACCAGCUUUAAGUAUCUAUCCAUUUGGUCCAUACAUGGCAACACAAAUGUUGCAGAAGGAUGGAUGGCGUUAUUUGUGAAAGAGCAAAGUUGGGAGGCCCAAGACAUAUGAGUUCUCAGGCAAUGUCACAUUCCAGCCACCUAAUGGGAAAGAGAGAUAAGGAACAACAAGAUAGCGACCCUUCCAUUCUCUAGCUUCCUUUCCUUCCUUGUGCCACAACAGACAAUUCAACAACGCAGCUGCUAGAGAGAGAGAGAGAGAGAGAGAGAGAGAGAGAGAAAGAGAGAUCAAUUAUAAUAUGAAGACACCAAGCCUAU
rnacentral:lncRNA from 1 species